rnacentral:sRNA from 1 species
GAGCUGCUUGCAAGUCCAAGCUCCUAGGUGAUGCAAGCUCCAAGGGGAGAGGGAGGUCUGGUCGGCAUGCGACGGUAGCGUGGUCGACACUGGAGUGGGAGGUCUGGCCAGCGUGCGAUGGCAGCGUGGUCGCCGAUGUCGCCUAGGCAGCAGCAAGCUCCUAGGUGAUGCAUGCAGCGACCCUACGCGUCAAGCUGACCAACCAGGCGAUGGCACCACUUCUUCUCUCGCGUUCAAUGUGUCGCCGUGGAGGCCGGCACCGUCAUGGACGUCGACGCCUCACCACCGGGAGCAUGUAGGGGAGAAGUACAAGAACGGGUGUGUUGAGAUUUUUUUCAAUGUUUCAGAUAGUUUAGUUUGAUGUUUCUUUGGGUUGGAUCGAAUGUUGCAAUUGGAUUUUAGAUGGUGUUCCAUAACUUUGCUCCUUGAUGCAAACCACCAAUGGAAAUUUGUUGUUUCACAUGUGUGAAUGAAAUGUUUCGGUCAUGACUUGAAUAUGUUUCAGCAUUUUAACAAUGUGAAACAUUUUUUUCUAGUGGUGAAACAUUUUCGUAGUAGCGCUGAAAGAGCGCCCAAUUUUUUAUUUUUUGAUGUUUC